GUGUGCAUGUGGUGUGUUUGUGAUAAAAUUGCUUAGAUUCUUGUUAGGAUAAAAGGCUCUGAACGGGUUUGAUGCAGAAGAUUUCCUCAUAGAUCUCUACUAUCAUGUCCAGAAAAGCGCAAAACGGAAGGACCAACUUAAAGAAAUUUAAGUUGGAAAUUUCCAACUUAAAGAAGUCAGCUGGGGAAAGAUGGACAUGCAAAAGCCAGUGUAUAUGAAGACACCCAUGGGAUUAGGAAUACAUUGUGUGGUAUUCUGGCGUCCAAAAUUAACAUUUCCAAAGACACCACUUGUUUCAGCUGGAGUCCAGAUGAAAAACUUGUGACAAAUGCUAAAUCUGCAACAUAUAAAGCAUUACACUAGAUCAGAUGAUCAAAUCUGUGUAAUAAAAUGUACUUAUUUGAUUCCUA